rnacentral:rRNA from 1 species
GACGAACGCUGGCGGCGUGCUUAACACAUGCAAGUCGAACGGUAAGGCCCUUCGGGGUACACGAGUGGCGAACGGGUGAGUAACACGUGGGUGAUCUGCCCUGCACUUCGGGAUAAGCCUGGGAAACUGGGUCUAAUACCGGAUAGGACCACUGCCUGCAUGGGUGGUGGUGGAAAGCUUUUGCGGUGUGGGAUGGGCCCGCGGCCUAUCAGCUUGUUGGUGGGGUGUUGGCCUACCAAGGCGACGACGGGUAGCCGGCCUGAGAGGGUGACCGGCCACACUGGGACUGAGAUACGGCCCAGACGCCUACGGGAGGCAGCAGUGGGGAAUAUUGCACAAUGGGCGCAAGCCGGAUGCAGCGACGCCGCGUGGGGGAUGACGGCCUUCGGGUUGUAAACCUCUCUCAGCACCGACGAAGCGCAAGUGACGGUAGGUGCAGAAGAAGGACCGGCCAACUACGUGCCAGCCGCCGCCGUAA